GACCCAUGGUGAAGGCACCUUCUUAAUAGGUCCUUGUAUCUCUCCCAUGCAUCAUAGAGUGUUUCUAAAUCCAUCUACACAAAAGAAGAAAGAUAAUUCCUUAAUUU
rfam:Gossypium hirsutum cultivar TM-1 chromosome 6, whole genome shotgun sequence